AACCUGCGAGGACCACUCCAGCCCCCGACACCUGAAGUUGCCAUGGGUACCAGCAGGCUGCUGAUAGGGAACUUUAAGAUACACUCUCAAAGCACUGAGGAAUGGUACUGUACUUCAGAGGGCAGAGAAGGCACAUUCUGGAUACGGUCUGGGGUAAGCAGAACACUAACCUUCCAGGGUCACCCCGGCCCCUUGACAUAGUGGGGGAGGGAUGGAAGGUGAGGAAGAGUGUUUCAGUUGGGGCAGGAAGUAGGAGUGCUCUGUGAAAUACUGAGGCUCUGUGAGAGUUUUACCUCUCAUGAAGAUGCCAGGGUAUGGAUCAAGGAACGGACUGGAAUGCUCGCGUCCAGGGCUUCUGUUUGGGCAGAGGCUGAGGUCCUUCCUAGGUGGCGUCCAUGUUCAAGGAGUCUGGGGUCUGCACAGCAGAACACAGGAUGGGAGGAAAUUCUUCCCUCUGAAGUUUUCACUUCUCAGUCGGGGUGGAGAGGAGGUGAUUAACUUCUUCCUGAGACAUGCAAUUGCCUUCUAGGCUUGGAGGAAUCUAAAUAAACUCAUUUUGUAUCAUUUACUAUAGUCAAUGCCAUAACUUGUUGAUUGGUGGAUGGUCGAUCUACAUGAAAUAAGAUGCAGCUUAUAUCCAAACAUGAGAGAGAGAGACAGACAGACAGAGAGACUUUCCACACAGACCUUUCAAACACUGUCCAUGGGAGAGCUGAGGCUAGAAUCAGUAUUUCACAAACAUCUAAAGAAUGUGACUUCUCAUAUUCAGGCUUUGAGUUGCAAAGAAAGAAGUUCCCAGUCCAAUGAGGGAGACAUAAAUUGUGCCCUCAGAAAGCAUUCCAAUGUGAGAGCCCCACAGAAGAGGGCAAAUGAGCACCAUUCGGUGAGCCCAGCAUGCCUCAGGGAGCAAACCUGCCCCCAGCUACAAGGUCGCCUGGGUCUCAAGACAAAGAAGAGAAAGCUGAGAUUCAUCAUUGAAUUUUACAGAUGGGGAAGCUCCUCGAUUGGAGAAAAAGAUUCAGUCACUGACCCAGAGUCCCUUAGGGAUGCUUCCAGGACCAGAACCCCGGGCAGCUACCCUGACUCCCAGGCCAGGUGGGCUAUCAGGCUCCAGUGACGUCUCCCGAGACUUCACUGCGGAGUCAGCUUGCCACGUGGCUCCAGCCCAGACGCAUCCCCUGGGACUGACCUUGCGCUGCUCCUGACCCCGAGGCUGACACGUCAGGGCACACCUGCCACGAGGCUAUGGAGCCGCGUCCCCCACACAGGCAUGCUCCUGUUAGCUCAGGAAAGUUUCUCAAGNAUCAGGCUCCAGUGACGUCUCCCGAGACUUCACUGCGGAGUCAGCUUGCCACGUGGCUCCAGCCCAGACGCAUCCCCUGGGACUGACCUUGCGCUGCUCCUGACCCCGAGGCUGACACGUCAGGGCACACCUGCCACGAGGCUAUGGAGCCGCGUCCCCCACACAGGCAUGCUCCUGUUAGCUCAGGAAAGUUUCUCAAGGGGCGCCUGGGUGGCACAGCGGUUAAGCGUCUGCCUUCAGCUCAGGGCGUGAUCCCGGCGUUAUGGGAUCGAGCCCCACAUCAGGCUCCUCCGCUGUGAGCCUGCUUCUUCCUCUCCCACUCCCCCUGCUUGUGUUCCUCUCUCGCUGGCUGUCUCUAUCUCUGUUGAAUAAAUAAAUAAAAUCUUUAAAAAAAAAAAAAAAAAAAAGGAAAGUUUCUCAAAACCCAAAGCCACUGGCCUGUGACCUCCCCGGGGGACAGUCUCCUAACUGGGCUGUCGGAUCCCAUCCACGGCCUGCGAUGCAGAGGAGAGGCUGCUUGCCUGCGAGGCCAACAGCCAAGCAUCAGUUCUGGGACCUCUCUGGCUAAGCAACUCCAGGCUGCCGAUGUCACCUCCUUAUCUGCAAAACACAGAGAACCAUACACAGCAUUCGGGGCUGUCGACAGGAUCAAAUGAGAGCUCUUUUAUGCAGGGCCUUCUAGGUGCGCAAAAGGCUCCCUCUCUUCCCUCCUCCACCUGUCCAUCCCGCCUCCCUGCCUUGUCUUCUUUCCCCUUUGCUGAAGUUCGGCUUGCAUAACACCCAGAUGAUCUUUCUGGAACUCCACUAGCAUCAGGCUGCUCCCUAAAUCCCAAAUCUCAAGUGCCUUCCCAUUGCCAAUGCAGCCAGCCGCCUCUCUGUCUGCCACGCAGGCCCCCAGCUCUAGACAUCACCUCUCCUGUCCACGUUGCUGUCUUACCAUUCGGGAACGUGCGCAGUCUGGUUGUGGGGCGGCCAUUCGUGCUGACUUGCUCCUCUCUGCCCUUCCUUCUGCUGUCUCAGCCUCCUGGAAUGCCCUUUCCCGCCUCUCCAUCGGUGCAGGCAUCCCUUGCUGCCCUGUGUGUCUCUCCCUUCUCUGAUUUCCCAUUUCAUUGACUGUUCGUGUCAGUUUCUUCAGUCCCAAAUCACGGAGGCUAGUAUGUCUUCGGUUGUUUCCUGUGUCUGUAUCUUUUUCUUAACAACAUUACUCUCUGUUUCUCCAGGGCAGACCGAGGUCGUGUACCUCUCUGCUUCCCCGCUGGCCAGCAGAGCCAAGUGGGAACGUGGGACGAGCUCUGGACUUGAGCCGUGAGGCCUGGGUCCAAAUCCUAGGUCUAGCACUUACUAGCUGUAAAAUACGUAACUUACCUUCUUCAUCAGAAGGCUGCUUUUUUCAAAUGUAUUUGCCCAUUGAAUAAUAUUUAUUGAGCACCUACUAUGUGCCAGGCCUGUGCUUUUCAACACAUAUAAGCUCAUCUAACACUCAUUAUUUCAAUCUGGUAACCUCAGCUCUGGAACUGAGCUCUCAAAUCUUAGCAGAGAGUUCUUGGGGAUUAAAUAAAUUAAGAUUGUAAAUGAAUUUGCAUAUGUUUGACCACAGUGGAUGCUCAGCCAGUCUUUGCUGAAUCUGACUAUUAGGUCCUCAAUAAAUUGAAUGUCACUGACUCACUCACAGACAGCGCUGAAGAUACAGUAGUGAGUAGGACGGCUUCCCUGUCCUCAUGGAACAUUCAAUUCAGACCAGCAAAGGAUGAGAUGGACAUGAAAUAAAUAGCGACAAUUGUCAUAAGGACUAUUUUUGGAACAUGUAAGGGGACUGACUGUACUGUAAGGGGUACAGUAUUGGUACAGACGGAGGAGGGAAGAGAGGUAGCCUUUGCUGAGCCCCUCUGAAGAAGAUAAUGAGCUCACAUCUGAGGGAUCUGAAGUAUGUAAGUGGGAAGAGAAAGGGAAAAGGCUUAAGAGGUGGAGACAGUGGGCCUUCCAGGCAGCGGAAAUAGCCAGUGCAAAGAUCCCGAGGCCAGAAAGCACAGAGCCGUCCACAGGAAAUUCAGCUUCGCUUGGUGAGCAGUAAGGAGAGAGGGGCAAGGUGAGGCUGAAGGCAGACUCUUCCAGAGCAGAGCCUGACUGGCCAUGCUGAAGAAUUUGGACUUGAUGCACAAGAGGGAGGACCACUGGGAGACUCAGGCCAGGGGAGUCACAUGGUCAGGGGUGCAUUUCGGAAGCUCACUCUGGGUGCUGUAUGAAGAAUGGAUAAAAGGGUGAGAGUGAAUUCAGGAGAGCAGGACUGAGUGAAAGAGACAUCAAUGCCUGGAACACUCCCAAUAAAGACUCCAGAGGGUCUGUGGGUCUAAUACCUGACUUCAGGGACCAGUGCUCAGAAGAACAGAAGUGGCCUCCGGUCCUGAACACUGUCACCUUCCUGAAGCACAUCUGUCCCAACGCACCACUUCUUGCCUUGUCCACACUCUUUCUGGAUGGCCUGCUCUAGGGUAGGGGUAAAAAACAACAACAACAACAAAAAAAAAACCCCGCCAGCACCACCCCAUUCUGAAGUGUGGGCUAAGCCACAAACUGGUUUGAACCUGUCCUUUCAGAGCUGGCUGCAAAGCAAAGACCUACCUGGCCUGGCUCGGGGCCGCCUGUCUGCAUUCUUCUGCCCACACUCACCCUUCUGAGGCGAGGGCAGAGGCAGGGCCCUCCUCCACCCCUUCCUAUCCUGACAGCUAGCAGUGGCCCAACCUCUGCUUACAUAAUCUGAGCCCAGGGCAUGGCUCCGCUCUCUCCUUUGGGCCGAGCGGCUUCUGGAGGUGGGGUUAACAGGUGGGUUCUGGGUUGGAGAUGGGGAAAUAGAAACGAAUUUCUGGUCUCUGUAGUUCUGCCCACUCAGAACUGAUGGUCUAGGCUUUGGGCAUAGCCAUAGCUCACACACCCCAGGUUCAGGUGAUUCUCCAACCCCCACUAUUCAAGCUUCUUCUAUUCUUUUUUUUUUUUUAAGAUUUUUUAAAAUUUAUUUUUCAGAGAGAGAGACAGCCAGCGAGAGAGGGAACACAAGCAGGGGGAGUGGGAGAGGAAGAAGCAGGCUCCCAGUGGAGAAGCCUGAUGUGGGGCUCGAUCCCAGAACGCUGGGAUCACGCCCUGAGCCAAAGGCAGAUGCUUAAGGACUGCGCCAUCCAGGUGCCCCAAGGUUCUUAUAUUCUGUUGGGAGAAAUUAGAGUGACCUUUCACUGGGGUCAGGGGAGUGUGGUUUUAGCUCUCUGCUCUUGUCACCAACCUAGGCAAGUAGCCAUGACUUCCCUGGCCUUAGGUUUCUUCCACUGUAAAAU
rnacentral:lncRNA from 1 species